UAAGUGUUUAAGGGCGCAUGGUGGAUGCCUUGGCACUGGGAGCCGAUGAAGGACGUGGGAGGCUGCGAUAUGCCUCGGGGAGCUGUCAACCGAGCGUGGAUCCGAGGAUGUCCGAAUGGGGAAACCCGGCACGAGUGAUGUCGUGUCACCCAACGCUGAAUGUAUAGGCGUUGGGGGGGAACGCGGGGAAGUGAAACAUCUCAGUACCCGUAGGAAGAGAAAACAAUUGUGAUUCCGUGAGUAGUGGCGAGCGAAAGCGGAGGAUGGCUAAACCGUAUGCAUGUGAUACCGGGUAGGGGUUGUGUGUGCGGGGUUGUGGGAUCCAUCUGUCCAGGUCUACUCACCUGGAGGGUAGUGAGAAAAUGUUGUGGUUAGCGGAAGUGGCUUGGGAUGGCCUGCCGUAGACGGUGAGAGCCCGGUACGUGAAAACCUGACAUCUGCCUUGGAUGGUGUUCCCGAGUAGCAGCGGGCCCGUGGAAUCUGCUGUGAAUCUGCCGGGACCACCCGGUAAGCCUGAAUACUUCCCAGUGACCGAUAGCGGAUUAGUACCGUGAGGGAAUGGUGAAAAGUACCCCGGGAGGGGAGUGAAAGAGUACCUGAAACCGUGCGCUUACAAUCCGUCAGAGCCCUCGCUUUUGUGUGGGGUGAUGGCGUGCCUUUUGAAGAAUGAGCCUGCGAGUCAGGGACAUGUCGCGAGGUUAACCCGGGUGGGGUAGCCGCAGCGAAAGCGAGUCUGAAUAGGGCGUAUCCAAUCCGUUGGGGUUGGUGUAGUGGUGUGUUCUGGACCCGAAGCGGAGUGAUCUACCCAUGGCCAGGGUGAAGCGCGGGUAAGACCGUGUGGAGGCCCGAACCCACUUAGGUUGAAGACUGAGGGGAUGAGCUGUGGGUAGGGGUGAAAGGCCAAUCAAACUCCGUGAUAGCUGGUUCUCCCCGAAAUGCAUUUAGGUGCAGCGUCACAUGUUUCUUGUUGGAGGUAGAGCUACUGGAUGGCCGAUGGGCCCUACUAGGUUACUGACGUCAGCCAAACUCCGAAUGCCGACAAGUCUAAGAGUGUGGCAGUGAGACGGCGGGGGAUAAGCUCCGUGCGUCGAGAGGGAAACAGCCCAGAUCGCCGGCUAAGGCCCCUAAGCGUGUGCUAAGUGGAAAAGGAUGUGCAGUCGCGAAGACAACCAGGAGGUUGGCUUAGAAGCAGCCACCCUUGAAAGAGUGCGUAAUAGCUCACUGGUCAAGUGAUUGUGCGCCGAUAAUGUAGCGGGGCUCAAGCACACCGCCGAAGCCGCGGCAACGAUCUUGUGUCGUUGGGUAGGGGAGCGUCCUGCAUCCGGUGAAGCCGCCGAGUGAUCGAGUGGUGGAGGGUGUGGGAGUGAGAAUGCAGGCAUGAGUAGCGAUUAGGCAAGUGAGAACCUUGCCCGCCGAAAGACCAAGGGUUCCUGGGCCAGGCCAGUCCGCCCAGGGUGAGUCGGGACCUAAGGCGAGGCCGACAGGCGUAGUCGAUGGACAACGGGUUGAUAUUCCCGUACCCGUGUAUGUGCGUCCCUGAUGAAUCAGCGGUACUAACCAUCCAAAACCACCGUGACCAAUCCCUUCGGGGUGCGGCGUUGGUGGGGCUGCAUGGGAUCUUCGUUGGUAGUAGUCAAGCGAUGGGGUGACGCAGGAAGGUAGCCGUACCAGUCAGUGGUUGUACUGGGGUAAGCCGGUAGGGCGAAACGUAGGCAAAUCCGCGUUUCAUNNNNNNNNNNNNNNNNNNNNNNNNNNNNNNNNNNNNNNNNNNNNNNNNNNNNNNNNNNNNNNNNNNNNNNNNNNNNNNNNNNNNNNNNNNNNNNNNNNNNCAGCCUGAGAGGUGAUGCAUAGCCGUUUGAGGCGAAUUCGGUGAUCCUAUGCUGCCAAGAAAAGCCUCUAGCGAGGACAUACACGGCCCGUACCCCAAACCAACACAGGUGGUCAGGUAGAGAAUACUAAGGCGUACGAGUGAACUAUGGUUAAGGAACUCGGCAAAAUGCCCCCGUAACUUCGGGAGAAGGGGGACCCCCACACCGUCAACACCCUUGCGGUGGGUAGCGGUAGGGGGUGGCACAAACCAGUGAGAAGCGACUGUUUACUAAAAACACAGGUCCGUGCGAAGUCGCAAGACGAGGUAUACGGACUGACGCCUGCCCGGUGCUGGAAGGUUAAGAGGACCCGUUAACCCCUUGGGGUGAAGCGGAGAAUUUAAGCCCCAGUAAACGGCGGUGGUAACUAUAACCAUCCUAAGGUAGCGAAAUUCCUUGUCGGGUAAGUUCCGACCUGCACGAAUGGCGUAACGACUUCUCAACUGUCUCAACCAUAGACUCGGCGAAAUUGCACUACGAGUAAAGAUGCUCGUUACGCGCGGCAGGACGAAAAGACCCCGGGACCUUCACUACAACUUGGUAUUGGUGCUCGAUACGGUUUGUGUAGGAUAGGUGGGAGACUGUGAAACACUGACGCCAGUUAGUGUGGAGUCGUUGUUGAAAUACCACUCUGAUCGUAUUGGGCCUCUAACCUCGAACCCUGAACCGGGUUCAGGGACAGUGCCUGGCGGGUAGUUUAACUGGGGCGGUUGCCUCCUAAAAUGUAACGGAGGCGCCCAAAGGUUCCCUCAACCUGGACGGCAAUCAGGUGUUGAGUGUAAGUGCACAAGGGAGCUUGACUGCGAGACGUACAUGUCAAGCAGGGACGAAAGUCGGGACUAGUGAUCCGGCACCUCUGAGUGGAAGGGGUGUCGCUCAACGGAUAAAAGGUACCCCGGGGAUAACAGGCUGAUCUUCCCCAAGAGUCCAUAUCGACGGGAUGGUUUGGCACCUCGAUGUCGGCUCGUCGCAUCCUGGGGCUGGAGCAGGUCCCAAGGGUUGGGCUGUUCGCCCAUUAAAGCGGCACGCGAGCUGGGUUUAGAACGUCGUGAGACAGUUCGGUCUCUAUCCGCCGCGCGCGUCAGAAGCUUGAGGAAACCUGUCCCUAGUACGAGAGGACCGGGACGGACGAACCUCUGGUCUACCAGUUGUCCCACCAGGGGCACCGCUGGAUCGCCACGUUCGGACAGGAUAACCGCUGAAAGCAUCUAAGCGGGAAACCCCCUCCAAGACCAGGCUUCUCACCCUUUUAGAGGGAUAAGGCCCCCCGCAGACCACGGGAUCGAUAGACCAGACCUACACGCACAGCAAUGUGUUCAGGGAACUGGCACUAACCGGCCGAAAACUU
rnacentral:rRNA from 1 species